GAUGAACGCUGGCGGCGUGCCUAAUACAUGCAAGUCGAACGCAUAGCGAAAGGUGCUUGCACCUUUCAAGUGAGUGGCGAACGGGUGAGUACCACGUGGACAACCUGCCUCAAGGCUGGGGAUAACAUUUGGAAACAGAUGCUAAUACCGAAUAAAACUUAGUGUCGCAUGACACAAAGUUAAAAGGCGCUUCGGCGUCACCUAGAGAUGGAUCCGCGGUGCAUUAGUUAGUUGGUGGGGUAAAGGCCUACCAAGACAAUGAUGCAUAGCCGAGUUGAGAGACUCGUCUGCCACAUUGGGACUGAGACACGGCCCGAACUCCUACGGGAGGCUGCAGAAGAGAAUCUUACACCAUGGGCGAAAGCCUGAUGGAGAAACGCCGCGUGUGUGAUGACGGCUUUCGGGUCGUAAAGAACUGUUGUAUGGGAAGAACAGCUAGAAUAGGAAAUGAUUUUAGUUUGACGGUACCAUACCAGAAAGGGACGGCUAAAUACGUG
rnacentral:rRNA from 1 species